rnacentral:misc_RNA from 1 species
UACUUAUCAACUUGUUUAAAUAUCUUAAAUUUCCUCUAAAUAUACACGUUGUAGAACCCAACAAAUUUGCAAGGGUACAAUUUUUCUCAAAGAAAAACUGCUGUCCUCAGGCUACAUGGACAGGUGGGUCAUAAGCCCAUGGGUGGCAGCUCAUGCAUUCCUUUGUGAGCUAAUAUAGCUACUCCGAAUACUCAAAAAUUUAAGAGCAGAAAGAAGAAUUUUAAUUUAUUCAGGCUUCUUUUUGAACACAACUCAUACGUACACAAGAUAACAUUUCAUAAACCAAGGACUGAAAAAAAAAAAAACAAUUUCAUUCGUGCUCUAAUUCAAUCAUUUCACCAAAUUCCUCUUAUUUCAGUCUGUCCUCCUUCAAUUAGUCCCUUGUCAUCAAGGCAAGCAACAAAUCCUUAUAGUUCCCAUUAGCAUUGUCGUCAAUUUUCUGGGUUAGGGGAACACCAUAUAAGCUAUUGUACUCUUCUUUAAUCUCCUUCAAAUCCACAUCUGCUCUGGUUACAAUUACUCUUGUCAAUGCCUUUUUGGUGUUGUGAUCUGCAUCA